AUUGCUUAUCUUGGAGAUUAAGCCAUGCAUGUCUAAGUUUAAGUUAUAUAAGGCGAAACUGCGAAUGGCUCAUUAAAACAAUUAUAGUAUACUUGAUAAUGUUUUUACAUGGAUAACCGUGGGAAACUAGAGCUAAUACAUGCUUAAGACCGUAAUGGUAGAAUUUAUUAGCUUUGACCUUGGGCUCUGCCUAAGUGAGGAAUCAUAAUAACUGAUCGGAGCGCUACAGAGUAGCGCUAAAUCUUUCUAGUUUUUGCCCUAUCAUGCUUUCGAUGGUAGUGUAUUGGACUACCAUGGCUUUCACGGGUAACGGAGAAUUGGGGUUCGAUUCCGGAGAAGGAGCCUGAGAAACGGCUACUACACCUACGGGAGAGCAGCAGGCGCGUAAAUUACCCAAUCCUAACUCAGGGAGGUAGUUACAAGAAAUAGUUUACCGGAAAUUUACAUUUCUAGUUUUGCAAUGGAUGUGGUUUAAAUCCUUUAUUGAAAUCUAUUGGAGGGCAAGUCUGGUGCCAGCAGCCGCGGUAAUNCGGNAGNUCCAAUAGCGUAUGUUAAUGUUGUUGAAUUUAAAAAGCUCGUAGUUGAAUUUCUGGCCAGAAGGACGACGCUCAGGCUGACUCCAUCUAGGUCAUCCGCUCAUGAUAUAGUUGAAUCUUUCACCAGUUUCUCUAAGGAUUGGGCAUUUUACCUUGAAGAAAUUAAAGUGUUUCAGGCAGGCUUUCGCUUGAAUACACCAGCAUGGAAUAAUGGAAUAGGACUAGGUCUAUUUUCUUGGUCAAUUGACUUAGUAAUGAUUAACAGGAACAGUUGGGGGCGUUUGUACUUAGUAGUCAGAGGUGAAAUUCUUCGAUUUACUAAAGACACACUAAUGCGAAAGCAUUCGCCAAGGAUGUUUUCAUUAAUCAAGAACGAAAGCGCGGGGAUCCAAAACGAUUAGAUACCGUUGUAGUCCGCUGCUAUAAACUAUGCCGACUAGGGAUUGGAUGGGCCCGAAGCCCAUUCAGCACCUAAUGAGAAAUCAAAGUUUUUGGGUUAUUGGGGAAGUAUGGUCACAAGGCUGAAACUUAAAGGAAUUGACGGAAGGGCACACCAGAAGUGGAGCCUGCGGCUUAAUUUGAUUCAACACGGGAAAACUUACCAGGACAAGACUUCUAGAGGAUUGACAGAUUGAGAGGCCUUUCUUGAUUUGAAGGGUGGUGGUGCAUGGCCGUUCUUAGUUGGUGGAGUGAUUUGUCAGGUUAAUUCCCUUAACGAACGAGACCUUAGCCUGCUAAAUAGCAGCGGUUACUCUCUAGCCGUAUGCUUCUUAGAGGGACUAUUACCAAAAGUAAUGGAAGUUUGAGGCAAUAACAGGUCCGUGAUGCCCUUAG
rnacentral:rRNA from 1 species